rnacentral:misc_RNA from 1 species
GUACCUUCAAGCUCUGCUUGGUGUUGGGUGUUUGUCCCGCUUUUUGCGUGGACUCGCCUCAAAGCAAUUGGCAGCCGGCGUACUAGCCUGGGAGCGCAGCACAUUUUGCGCAUCUCGACUGGAAUGCUUGCGUCCAUUAAGCCUACACUUUUGC